UGGGGAAUAUUGCCAAUGGAGGAACUCUGAUGCAGCAACGCCGCGUGGAGGAUGACGCAUUUCGGUGUGUAAACUCCUUUUAUAUGGGAAGAUAAUGACGGUACCAUAUGAAUAAGCACCGGCUAACUCCGUGCCAGCAGCCGCGGUAAUACGGAGGGUGCAAGCGUUACUCGGAAUCACUGGGCGUAAAGCGCGCGCAGGCGGCCUUUUAAGUUGGAUGUGAAAGCCUACGGCUCAACCGUAGAACUGCAUCCAAAACUAUCAGGCUAGAGUGUGGGAGAGGAAGAUGGAAUUAGUUGU
rnacentral:rRNA from 1 species